rnacentral:lncRNA from 1 species
UACUAUUCUUCGAGUAGGAAAGGUAAUAGUAGAAAUUUAAUUUAACUUUUGUUCGUCGGUUCUAACAAUGAUCUGUCUAGCAUAUUUUUAGGUGGACAGAAAAGGACGAACAAAAUUUUGGCGCCGUUGCCGGGGAGGCAAAUCGAGAAGCAAGAACGAUCACAAAGAUCAAAUUGGAUUUUGGAUGCCCGAAGUGAACGCACUCCGGUAGUAAGUUUUUAUUUUUAUUAUUUUGAUUAUUUUCAGUUAAUAAUUUCGUAGUUAUUAAAUUCUGAAAUUUGAAAUUCGAAAAAAAAUUGAAAAAAAAAUUGAAAAAAAAUAUAUUUCAAAAUUCAAAAAUUCAAAAAUUUAAAUUCAAAAUUUGAAUUCUGAAAUUCGAAAUUUGAAAUUUAAAUUUAAAAAAAAUAAAAAUAAAAAUAAAGUAAAAUAAAAAAUUCAAAAAAUAAAAUAAAAUAAAAUAAAAUAUCUAUAUUAUUUUUGUUAGUAAUUGAUAAGGUGCAAUCUCCUGAAGUUAUCAUACCUUUAUUUGGGCUCCACACGGAGUAAUCUCCAGAGCUUAGAACGGGCAUUCGGAGAUUGACUGACGCAUAAGGAUUGUAUUUAGUUUACAUUCAAGUUAUUGCUAAAAAAAUAAAUAAAAAAUUAUAAAAAA